AGCGGCGGACGGGUGAGUAAUGCCUGGGAAUAUGCCCUGAUGUGGGGGAUAACUAUUGGAAACGAUAGCUAAUACCGCAUAAUCUCUUCGGAGCAAAGAGGGGGACUUUCGGGCCUCUCGCGUCAGGAUUAGCCCAGGUGGGAUUAGCUUGUUGGUGAGGUAAUGGCUCACCAAGGCAACGAUCCCUAGCUGGUCUGAGAGGAUGAUCAGCCACACUGGAACUGAGACACGGUCCAGACUCCUACGGGAGGCAGCAGUGGGGAAUAUUGCACAAUGGGGGAAACCCUGAUGCAGCCAUGCCGCGUGUGUGAAGAAGGCCUUCGGGUUGUAAAGCACUUUCAGUAGGGAGGAAGGUAGUGUAGUUAACACCUGCACUAUUUGACGUUACCUACAGAAGAAGCACCGGCUAACUCCGUGCCAGCAGCCGCGGUAAUACGGAGGGUGCGAGCGUUAAUCGGAAUUAUUGGGCGUAAAGCGCAUGCAGGCGGCCUGUUAAGUCAGAUGUGAAAGCCCGGGGCUUAACCUCGGAAUUGCAUUUGAAACUGGCAGG
rnacentral:rRNA from 1 species